rnacentral:rRNA from 1 species
GACGAACGCUGGCGGCGUGCUUAACACAUGCAAGUCGAACGGUAAGGCCCUUCGGGGUACACGAGUGGCGAACGGGUGAGUAACACGUGGGUGAUCUGCCCUGCACUUCGGGAUAAGCCUGGGAAACUGGGUCGAAUACCGGAUAGGACCCUGGGAUGCAUGUCCUGGGGUGGAAAGCUUUUGCGGUGUGGGAUGGGGCCGCGGCCUAUCAGCUUGUUGGUGGGGUGGUGGCCUACCAAGGCGACGACGGGUAGCCGGCCUGGGAGGGUGCCCGGCCACACUGGGACUGAGAUACGGCCCAGACUCCUACGGGAGGCAGCAGUGGGGAAUAUUGCACAAUGGGCGCAAGCCUGAUGCAGCGACGCCGCGUGAGGGAUGACGGCCUUCGGGUUGUAAACCACUUUCAGCACCGACGAAGCGCAAGUGACGGUAGGUGCAGAAGAAGGACCGGCCAACUACGUGCCAGCCGCCGCGGUAA